GCCACAGAUAAGAGACUCUCAACAGAGAGGUAGUUAAUGCCCUAUGAUCCUGCCAGCAAGUGACACUGGUCUGAAGUUCAUACUCAGGACUUUAAGUCUUAUAUGAAAACAAGAUAUAAAAGUCAAGAGCCAACCUAGAUGUUGGGUAAGAGUUCCUGAGUGGGGCCACCUGCCUGGGUGGAGUAAGCAACAGAAAAUCUGCCAUAUCCAAGCUAGUCAGGGAUUCCACUGUUCCUGCAGGAUCUGCAAGCUCUACAAAAGGCAACGAUUUAAAGUGCAACAGGCAACUAACAUCCAGGAGCUCUGGAGAGGAGCUCAGAAUAUCUUCCAUCCAGGAGCUCCGGAGAGGAGCUCAGAACAUCUUCCAUCCAGGAGCUCCGGAGAGGAGCUCAGAACAUCUUCCAUCCAGGAGCUCUGGAGAGGAGCUCAGAACAUCUUCCAUCCAGGAGCUCUGGAGAGGAGCUCAGAACAUCUUCCAUUCAGGAGCUCCAGAGAGGAGCUCAGAACAUCUUCCUGGCUGAGCCUCUUCCUUCACCUAACUUGGUAGAUGACUUCAUCUUACUCUGGGAUGUUCACGUCUGCCUCCGUAGCAGAUCUGAUGUCCUUUAUGUAGCAAGGUCACUCCUAUAAACUUCCCAGGCUCCAAAUCUGUCUGUUGAGCUUUUCUCAGCCUGGAAUUAUAAACGUGUCUUUGUUCUAUUACCCUCUCUUGAUGCCAAAGCCUCUACAUGUUCUAGGACUCAGUAUACCUGCUGUCUGUUGAGAUUGUAGGUCUUUAGUUUCUCAAUGGUCACACUUCAGCCUGAUCAGAGCUAUCCUGCUUUAUGUCAAAUCAUAACAAAUGAUGGAACAUGUUAUAUAUAACUACUACUGCUAUUAUAACACAUACAAUCUUAGAUGUGUGCUCUUAUAUAGUCAUGCUUCAUACAUGUUGUUAGUAGUUUUCACAUUAUGAAAUUGCUAUUAUCACCAGACAAUAUUAAAGCAUUGUUACAUGCAAAUA